AUUGAACGCUGGCGGCAUGCUUUACACAUGCAAGUCGAACGGUAACAGGGUGCUUGCACCGCUGACGAGUGGCGAACGGGUGAGUAAUGCGUCGGAACGUGCCGAGUAGUGGGGGAUAACGCAGCGAAAGUUGUGCUAAUACCGCAUACGUACUGAGGUAGAAAGUGGGGGACCUUCGGGCCUCACGCUAUUCGAGCGGCCGACGUCUGAUUAGCUAGUAGGUGAGGUAAAGGCUCACCUAGGCGACGACCAGUAGCGGGUCUGAGAGGAUGAUCCGCCACACUGGGACUGAGACACGGCCCGGACUCCUACGGGAGGCAGCAGUGGGGAAUUUUGGACAAUGGGCGAAAGCCUGAUCCAGCCAUGCCGCGUGUCUGAAGAAGGCCUUCGGGUUGUAAAGGACUUUUGUCAGGGAGGAAAUCCCUAGUGCUAAUAACACUGGGGGAUGACAGUACCUGAAGAAUAAGCACCGGCUAACUACGUGCCAGCCGCCGCAGUAA
rnacentral:rRNA from 1 species